rnacentral:rRNA from 1 species
UGGGGAAUUUUGCACAAUGGAGGAAACUCUGAUGCAGCGACGCCGCGUGAGUGAUGAAGAUCUUCGGAUUGUAAAACUCUGUCCUUAGUGAAGAUAAUGACAGCAACUAAGAAGCAAGCCCUGGCUAAAUGCGUGCCAGCAGCCGCGGUAAUACGUAUGGGGCAAGCGUUGUCCGGAAUUAUUGGGCGUAAAGGGUACGUAGGCGGUUUAAUAAGUCCUAAUUAAAAGGCUAUGGCUCAACCAUAGUAUGGUUAGGAAACUGUUGAACUUGAGUAGAUGAGGGGAAAGUGGAAUUCCAUGUGUAGCGGUGAAAUGCGUAGAUAUAUGGAGGAACACCAAUGGCGAAGGCAACUUUCUGGAAUCAAACUGACGCUGAGGUACGAAGGCGUGGGGAGCAAACAGG